rnacentral:tRNA from 2 species
GGGCCCGUAGCUCAGCCGGAUAGAGCGGCCGCCUCCUAAGCGGCAGGCCGGGGGUUCGAAUCCCUCCGGGCCCGCCA